GAUGAACGCUGGCGGCGUGCCUAACACAUGCAAGUCGAACGUGAGAGGGUAGCAAUAUCCUUGAAAGUGGCGCACGGGUGAGUAAUACGUAGGUGACCUGCCCUGGAGUGGGGGAUAACAGCUAGAAAUGGCUGCUAAUACCGCAUAAUACGAGAAUGCUGGGAAGUGUUCUGGUAAAAAACUCUGGUGCUUCAGGAGGGGCCUGCGGCCGAUUAGCUAGUUGGCGGGGUAAGAGCCCACCAAGGCAGUGAUCGGUAGCUGGUCUGAGAGGACGAUCAGCCACACGGGAACUGAGACACGGUCCCGACUCCUACGGGGGCAGCAGUGAGGAAUAUUGGGCAAUGGGCGGAAGCCUGACCCAGCAACGCCGCGUGGAGGAAGACGGCCUGGUUGUAACUCUUUACGGGUAAGAGGAAGGACGGUACCCGAGAACUAAGUACACGGCUAACUACCGUAGCCAGCAGCCGCGGUAAAAAGUAGGUAGUGGUA
rnacentral:rRNA from 1 species